CACUGUACGGACUCGCCGAUUCCGUACAGUGAAUCGACGAGUCACUAUACAAAAUCGUCCGGUUCUCUCUAGAACCGGACGAUUCCCGUUUUUUUCGCCGAUUCGAUCCGUCCAUGGCGAUUUCCGAGUCGAACCAGGCGAGUCCGGUUCGACUCGGUGUUUUUUUAAACACUGGGGAGAACAGAUGAACGUUUUGAGAGGGCUUUGACAUUGGAUCUGGGAAGGGAGAUCACUUCACAAUGGGCCCAGUGAUGAUAUAACUUUGCGAGAAUUGGGUUAGGCAAUGUUUGGAUAAGGUCAAAGAGAAUGGGGGCAUGAUCAAAAGAAUGUUUUGGGAGGAUUUUCCCAAGGGGGAAUGAUUAGAAAAUGAUUUAGUUUUGCGAGAACAAGGUUAAUUUGUAAGAAAGUCUCUGCCUUUUCUUUUAUAUUGAUCUUAGGAGAAAGUCUUA
rnacentral:lncRNA from 1 species